rnacentral:tRNA from 1 species
GGGGGUAUAGCUCAGUUGGUAGAGCAACGGCCUUUUAAGCCGUAGGUCGCAGGUUCGAGUCCUGCUGCCCUCACCA